UGAAUUUCUCUAGAUAAAGUGCGG
rnacentral:piRNA from 1 species